CAGGCUGCUGUUGCCGUGGGGCCCGCGUUGCUCCGCUGGAAGCCCUCCUGGGUGUGGUUGUGCGUCCUCGUGUUUGGAUCAGGCAGAAGCCGUGCAAUAACUCUGCUACCUGGCCUGCUGUGACGCUGCGCCGGUGAGGUCCAUUUAAACAUUCAUUCAUCGCCACGGCUCCCUGGACGACGCUGCUGUUUUGUGUGGCUCCAUUGUUUGGCUGCUGCUGAUUUUAGGCAGCUGUUUUGGUGUCAUUUAAAAAAAAAUAUUUUUGUUGUUUUCUUUUUUUGGGGGGGUUUUCUGAAUUGAGGUUGGGUCCAGCAUCCCCCUCACAGAGCUGUCAUCAGAGCCCUAAUGCUGGGCUCUCUGGGGGCUGCUGCAUGGGUUUAUUGAUUUGAGGAAAAGCUUGAUUUAUUAAUUUGUUUAUUGUUAAGUGUAAAUUUGAGUUUCUUUGUAUUAUUUUUCAUCGUUUUUGUUUAAUUGUAUUUGAAGAUUUAAUUGGUUAU
rnacentral:lncRNA from 1 species